UUCCUGGCAUUUUGCUCAUUUGAUUGAAUUGAAUUGAAAGCCUUUAUUGUCAUUGUACACAGUACAAUGAGAUUUGGAGAGCAACUCCAUAAAAGUGCACACAUUAAAAAACACAUAAAUACACAUACAAUACAAUACAUUGCAAAUCUGGAUGAAGGUUGAGUAUGGUGACGGCUUUGGGGAAGAAGCUAUCCCUGAAUCUGUUUGUUGUAGUCCGUAUUGACCUGAAGCGCCUGCCUGAGGGCAGCAUGUUAAAGAGAUGGAAACCGGGGUGAGUGGUAUCCCUCAGGAUGUUUCUGGCCCUACUGAGACAACGGGAGUUGUAAAUGUCAAUCAAAGAGGGCAGAGGGCAGCCAAUGAUUUUUUGUGCAGUGUUUGUCACCCUCUGCAGUCGCUUUCUGUCGGCCUCCGUGCAGCUAGAAUGCCACACUGUCACAGCGUA